GAUUAAGUUAUUAAGGGCGCACGGUGGAUGCCUUGGCACUAGAAGCCGAUGAAGGACGUUACUAACGACGAUAUGCUUUGGGGAGCUGUAAGUAAGCUUUGAUCCAGAGAUUUCCGAAUGGGGAAACCCAGCAUGAGUUAUGUCAUGUUAUCGAUAUGUGAAUACAUAGCAUAUCAGAAGGCACACCCGGAGAACUGAAACAUCUUAGUACCCGGAGGAAGAGAAAGAAAAUUCGAUUCCCUUAGUAGCGGCGAGCGAAACGGGAAGAGCCCAAACCAACAAGCUUGCUUGUUGGGGUUGUAGGACACUCUAUACGGAGUUACAAAGGACGACAUUAGACGAAUCAUCUGGAAAGAUGAAUCAAAGAAGGUAAUAAUCCUGUAGUCGAAAAUGUUGUCUCUCUUGAGUGGAUCCUGAGUACGACGGAGCACGUGAAAUUCCGUCGGAAUCUGGGAGGACCAUCUCCUAAGGCUAAAUACUCUCUAGUGACCGAUAGUGAACCAGUACCGUGAG
rnacentral:rRNA from 1 species